AGCUUAGUUGCCAUCAUUAAGUUGGGCACUCUAAGUUGACUGCCGGUGACAAACCGGAGGAAGGUGGGGAUGACGUCAAAUCAUCAUGCCCCUUAUGAUUUGGGCUACACACGUGCUACAAUGGACAAUACAAAGGGCAGCGAAACCGCGAGGUCAAGCAAAUCCCAUAAAGUUGUUCUCAGUUCGGAUUGUAGUCUGCAACUCGACUACAUGAAGCUGGAAUCGCUAGUAAUCGUAGAUCAGCAUGCUACGGUGAAUACGUUCCCGGGUCUUGUACACACCGCCCGUCACACCACGAGAGUUUGUAACACCCGAAGCCGGUGGAGUAACCAUUUGGAGCUAGCCGUCGAAGGUGGGACAAAUGAUUGGGGUGAAGUCGUAACAAGGUAGCCGUAUCGGAAGGUGCGGCUGGAUCACCUCCUUUCUAAGGA
rnacentral:rRNA from 1 species